GCGCCCGUGGCGAAAUUGGUAGACGCAAGAGACUUAAAAUCUCUCGUUCGUAUGAACGUGCCGGUUCGAGUCCGGCCGGGCGCACCA
rnacentral:tRNA from 1 species